rnacentral:rRNA from 1 species
UACGGAGGGAGCUAGCGUUGUUCGGAAUUACUGGGCGUAAAGCGCACGUAGGCGGCUUUGUAAGUUAGAGGUGAAAGCCCGGGGCUCAACUCCGGAACUGCCUUUAAGACUGCAUCGCUUGAAUCCAGGAGAGGUGAGUGGAAUUCCGAGUGUAGAGGUGAAAUUCGUAGAUAUUCGGAAGAACACCAGUGGCGAAGGCGCAGCCCCCUGGGCCGAAUACUGGACGCUCAGGCA